rnacentral:rRNA from 1 species
CUACGGGAGGCUGCAGUGGGGAAUAUUGGACAAUGGGCGCAAGCCUGAUCCAGCCAUGCCGCGUGUGGGAAGAAGGCCUUCGGGUUGUAAAGCACUUUCAGUUGGGAGGAAAGGUUAGUCGCUAAUAUCGGCUAGCUGUGACGUUACCAACAGAAGAAGCACCGGCUAACUCCGUGCCAGCAGCCGCGGUAAUACGGAGGGUGCAAGCGUUAAUCGGAAUUACUGGGCGUAAAGCGUACGCAGGCGGUUGAUUAAGCGAGAUGUGAAAGCCCCGGGCUCAACCUGGGAACUGCAUUUCGAACUGGUCAACUAGAGUGUGAUAGAGGGUGGGAGAAUUUCAGGUGUAGCGGUGAAAUGCGUAGAGAUCUGAAGGAAUACCGAUGGCGAAGGCAGCCACCUGGGUCAACACUGACGCUCAUGUACGAAAGCGUGGGGAGCAAACAGGAUUAGAUACCCCCGUAGUC